rnacentral:rRNA from 1 species
GUGUCAGCAGCCGCGGUAAUACGGAGGAUGCAAGCGUUAUCCGGAUUCAUUGGGUUUAAAGGGUGCGCAGGCGGAGUGAUAAGUCAGUGGUGAAAGCCUACAGCUUAACUGUAGAACUGCCAUUGAUACUGUCAUUCUUGAGUAUUGUUGAGGUAGGCGGAAUGUGUCAUGUAGCGGUGAAAUGCUUAGAUAUGACACAGAACACCGAUCGCGAAGGCAGCUUACCAAGCAAUAACUGACGCUCAUGCACGAAAGCGUGGGGAUCAAACAGGAUUAGAAACCCCGGUAGUCC